AGCCGCUAACCGUGACAAUGUCAUCAAUGGUGAAGGAUUGAACGAAGAAGGCAAGAACCCGGUAAAAUUGCUGUUGUAUGAAGGAAAUGUACUAGCCGGAGGUAAUACUCCAGUAUUCAUUCCAUGCUCAGCCAGACCUUCACCAGAAUUUCCAGAAGCAUGGCCAUUACCAUUGGGAAAAGAUUUAGAAAAAGGACCAUCCCUUGUAGACUGUUGCUUAACGGAAGAUCCGGAAUCCCCACU